rnacentral:rRNA from 1 species
GCGCGAAAACUUUACAAUGCUGGCAACAGCGAUAAGGGAACCUCGAGUGCCAGGUUACAAAUCUGGCUGUCGAGAUGCCUAAAAAGCAUUUCAUAGCAAGGGCCGGGCAAGACCGGUGCCAGCCGCCGCGGUAACACCGGCGGCUCGAGUGGUAACCGUUAUUAUUGGGUCUAAAGGGUCUGUAGCCGGCCGGAUAAGUCUCUUGAGAAAUCUGGCAGCUUAACUGUCAGGCUUUCAGGAGAUACUGUCUGGCUCGAGGCCGGGAGAGGUGAGAGGUACUUCGAGGGGUAGGGUGAAAUCUUGUAAUCCUUGAAGGACCACCAGUGGCGAAGGCGUCUCACCAGAACGGACCUGACGGCAAGGGACGAAAGCUAGGGGCACGAACCGGAUUAGAAACCC